rnacentral:rRNA from 1 species
GACGAACGCUGGCGGCGUGCUUAACACAUGCAAGUCGAACGGUAAGGCUCCAGCUUGCUGGGGUACACGAGUGGCGAACGGGUGAGUAACACGUGGGUGACCUGCCCUGCACUUCGGGAUAAGCCUGGGAAACUGGUCUAAUACCGGAUAGGACCGCACCGUGAGGGUGUGGUGGAAAGUUUUUUCGGUGUGGGAUGGGCCCGCGGCCUAUCAGCUUGUUGGUGGGGUAAUGGCCUACCAAGGCGGCGACGGGUAGCCGGCCUGAGAGGGUGGACGGCCACAUUGGGACUGAGACACGGCCCAGACUCCUACGGGAGGCAGCAGUGGGGAAUAUUGCACAAUGGGCGGAAGCCUGAUGCAGCGACGCCGCGUGGGGGAUGACGGCCUUCGGGUUGUAAACUCCUUUCACCAUCGACGAAGGGUUUCUGACGGUAGAUGGAGAAGAAGCACCGGCUAACUACGUG